rnacentral:tRNA from 1 species
GAAUAGAGCAGUUCGGUAGCUCACGAGGCUCAUAACCUUUGAGGUCACGGGUUCGAUUCCCGUCUC